AAGGGAGACCUAAUUCAGGUAGGAGACGAAAAAAAAGUAGUCCCUACCAGGAAUCAAUCCCAAAAGGUCGGAGCGAGGCGAAAUUGGCUUUCAAACUAGGUUCUGGGUUCAAACAAGACCUGAAUCAGGAACAAGGGCUAUUAGCUCAGGUGGUUAGAGCGCACCCCUGAUAAGGGUGAGGUCCCUGGUUCGAGUCCAGGAUGGCCCACCUGCACAGGUGGCAAAAACAAAGAAGCGAGGAAUCAGCACCUUAUCUUAUCUAUAUAUAUAGGAGAGAAUGCUGGCUCUGAGUAAAGAGUCCAGAGGAACCUUGAAAACUGCAUAGAGCUAGGUGAAAAAGCCAAAAAAGAAGACCGCAA
rnacentral:tRNA from 1 species